UACGUAGGGUGCGAGCGUUAAUCGGAAUUACUGGGCGUAAAGCGUGCGCAGGCGGUAAUGCAAGACAGAUGUGAAAUCCCCGGGCUUAACCUGGGACCUGCAUUUGUGACUGCAUUGCUGGAGUGCGGCAGAGGGGGAUGGAAUUCCGCGUGUAGCAGUGAAAUGCGUAGAUAUGCGGAGGAACACCGAUGGCGAAGGCAAUCCCCUGGGCCUGCACUGACGCUCAUGCACGAAAGCGUGGGGAGCAA
rnacentral:rRNA from 1 species